rnacentral:rRNA from 1 species
AACGAACGCUGGCGGCGUGCCUAACACAUGCAAGUCGUACGAGAAAUCUGGAGCAAUCUGGAGAGUACAGUGGCGCACGGGUGAGUAACGCGUGGGUAACCUGCCCUUGGGUUGGGGAUAACUCCUCGAAAGGGGUGCUAAUACCGGAUAACAUUUCGAUCUCCACGGGGAUUGAAAUCAAAGGUGGCCUCUGCAUGCAAGCUACUGCCCGAGGAUGGGCCCGCGUACCAUUAGCUAGUUGGUAGGGUAAUGGCCUACCAAGGCUGCGAUGGUUAGCUGGUCUGAGAGGAUGGCCAGCCACACUGGAACUGAGACACGGUCCAGACUCCUACGGGAGGCAGCAGUGGGGAAUCUUGCGCAAUGGGGGAAACCCUGACGCAGCAACGCCGCGUGGGUGAUGAAGGCCUUCGGGUCGUAAAGCCCUGUCAGGUGGGAAGAAACCCAUCGGUGCGAAUAGCACCGGUGAUUGACGGUACCACCGGAGGAAGCACCGGCUAACUCCGUGCCAGCCGCCGCGGUAAAAC